AAACUUUCGCAAUGGACGAAAGUCUGUCGGAGCAACGCCGCGUGAGUGAUGAAGGUCUUCGUUUCGUAUAAACAUCUUUUUAGGGAGGAACAAGUAUCGCUCGAUUAGGGCGGUACCUUGACGGUAUCUAACCAGAAAGCCACGGCUAACUACGUGCCAGCAGCCGCGGGAACACUUAGGUGGGAAGCGUUAUCCGGAAUUAUUUGGCGUAAAGCGAGGGCGGGCGGUUUCUUAAGUCUGAUGUGAAAGACCACGGCUCAACCGUGGAGGGUCAUUGGAAACUGGGAAGCUUGAGUGCAGAAGAGGAGAGUGGAAUUCCAUGUGUAGCGGUGAAAUGCGUAGAGAUAUGGAGGAACACCAGUGGCGAAGGCGACUCUCUGGUCUGGAACUGACGCUGAGGCGCGAAAGCGUGGGGAGCAAACA
rnacentral:rRNA from 1 species